GCCAGUAUGGUGUAGUAGUUUGAGCAUUGGACUAUGACUCUAGAGGUCAGGGUUCGAAUCCCAGGUCAGCCA